UGAGAGGACAGCCUGCCCGAGGACAGAGUCAGCAGAGAACAGACAGUGAAAACCAACCUGGAUGAGUGGAGCCUCCAUAUCUCAUCACGUGUGAAGCAAACCUACACGUGGUCUUGACAUUGGGUCACCUUCAUCACAGUGCCUGUAGCAUUGAACAUGUGCAGCCUUGGUUUGCCCACCAUUCCAACCCAUCUCCACGCUGAUUUCUCAGGGGACACGGGUUCGAGCCCUGGUCUGGGAAGAUCUCACAUGCCGCGGAGCAACUAGGCCUGUGAGCCACAACUAUUGAGCCUGCGCGUCUGGAGCCUGUGCUCCACAAUAAGAGAGGCCGCGAUAGUGAGAGGCCCGCGCACCGUGAUGAAGAGUAGCC